GACGAACGCUGGCGGCGUGCUUAACACAUGCAAGUCGAACGGAAAGGCUCCAGCUUGCUGGAGUACUCGAGUGGCGAACGGGUGAGUAACACGUGGGUAAUCUGCCCUGCACUUUGGGAUAAGCCUGGGAAACUGGGCCUAAUACUGGAUAUGACCUUUCUCCUUAUGGGGUUUGGUGGAAAGUUUUUCGGUGUAGGAUGAGCGCGCGGCCUAUCAGCUUGUUGGUGGGGUGAUGGCCUACCAAGGCGACGACGGGUAGCCGGCCUGAGAGGGUGAUCGGGCACAUUGGGACUGAGGUACGGCCCAGAGUCCUACGGGAGGCAGCAGUGGGGAAUAUUGCACAAUGGGCGGAAGCCUGAUGCAGCGACGCCGCGUGAGGGAUGACGGCCUUCGGGUUGUAAACCUCUUUCGGCAGGGACGAAGCGUAAGUGACGGUACCUGCAGAAGAAGCACCGGCUAACUAUGUG
rnacentral:rRNA from 1 species